UGUCUCGGAAAACCAAAAAAAAAAAAAAAAAAAAAAAAGCCUGCACAGUCCAUCUUUCAGUAAAAUGUUGUGAAGUCCUUCCUACACACGCACACACACACACACACAAAUAGUCUCACUUAUGUUAAGAAUUCUGCAAAAUUUUCUAGGUUUAUGUGAUUGUGGAGAGUUGGAAUGUUGCAGGUCUGUAACUAAAUUAUUAUGAGCUGUCUUUAGCACACCUGUAGCAAUUCAUUGCCCAGCUCUGUGUUAUAUCCAGCAUCCUUGUGAUUACCAGGUGAAAUCCUUUUGUGAUGUGUUCACAAAUCACUAAUUCCCACCAGCCCAAAGGCUAAGAAUGCCACCGCUGCUACCUGAAGCUUAUGACUGUAAUUCCCUUGCCUUGCUGUUACUGACCUGUGGUGUUCCCGCCAUGUAUUUGAAGAGUGUCUUGAUUUAUGACUUUUUGUUCUUGUCUCGCUCCCUCUUUGCCUGAGCCCUGGGGAAGAAAGAGCAGGAACCGGUUCUAAUGGAAGACUGGAGUGGGGAAGAGGAGAGAAGGCAAUAAAGGUUGGUGGCACAGGAAGAACUGAGACCACAGAUGGAUGAAGUCGAGUGAGGGCUACAGGAUGUUUCCAGAAAAACACUCAGAUUCAUCAGACAGCAGAAGUGGGAGCCUACCAGAAAAAUCUUCCUAAGUAACUACUGGAACCAGGGGCCACAGCCCACAAAUGGGUCUUAGUGCUCUGGAAGUCUAUUAAAAUUCAAGCAUGAAGGAUGGCUUGGAAAAGUUAUGGUCUGCAAGGAAAUUUGCUAUCCAGUGGAGUUGACAGAGACAUACACACUCAGCUCUACGAGGUAGACUCCAGGGAGAGCAGCAGACCAAGCACAGGGAGGAGCAGGGCAGUGGCAACAAGCUUGGCUGCAGCCUGAGGGCUGAGGAUGGCUUUUCUUGCCUGUUUCCUUCCUCCAUUCCCUCUUCCACCAGCAUAAAUGUGGCAGCUCCAAAAUUAUGCCUCUCUCUUUAGGAGUUGGCACUGGUGGAUGUCCCAGCUGCUCUAUUGCUUUCCCUUGUUGUUGCUUGAUUUCUAUAGUUUUUUUCUUAGGUUAUCUAGUAUGCCACAUGAGAUGUAACCUCUUAAAUUGUAACAUGCAUUUGUGUUGUCUGUAAGCACAUUGUCAUAUUGCAGACCUCUAGGACUUUUCCAUCUUGCAUGACUAAAAUGCUGAAUGCUGUGUUUAUUAAAAGCAUCUUCCUCGGGCCUCUGGCAAAUGACAUUCUACUUUCAUUCUGCUUUCUGUUUAUAAAAGGUUUACUACUCUAGAUGCCUGUAAGUGGAAUCAUAUAGUGCACAUGUUUAUAUGAUCUUUUUCAUUUUGCAUAGUGUCCUCACAGUUCAUCCUUGUCCACUAUUACAACAUUUUCUUCCAUUUUCUGACAGAUUAAUAUGUUGCCAUAUGUAUGUAUCAUGGGUUUUGUUUUUUGUUUUUGUUUGUUUAUUUUGAUCAGUUGCUACUGUGUUGGACAUUUAUGAUAGUAUACCUUUUGGCUAUUGUAUACAGUUCUACAACGAAAAUGGAAGUGUGUAAAGAUCCUCUAAGAUCUUGUUUUAAUUUUUGUGGAUAAUCCAUAGGAGUAGGACUGCUAGAUUUUAUGGUAGUUCUACUUUUAAUUUUGUGACAAAUCUGCACACCUUUUUAAGGACGUCUAUGGCUCGUGCUGGAGAAAGCUGGUCUGUCUGUCCUACUCUCUACCCCAUUCUUCCAUCUCCAGGAAACAGAAGUGCUGCCUGCCGCUUCUUCAGCACGCUGCUCCUGCUACCCCCCUUUUGGUUUCCAGGAUAUAACCUGACCCUUAACUUGUUCUUAAAGAUCCAUGUCAAGUCACAAUACCCCAUGACCUGGUCUUGUCACCUAGCUAGAUUUACUUGCUCUCUGCUGGAGUCUCUAGAGCUCCUGUCUCUGUUGUUUGGGACACAUGAUAGAGAUGUUGUCUUGGCCUUGGCCUGAAUUUUUGUUUUAACUGAACUGCCAUCUCUUGAAGGCAGGGACUCUGUCUCCUCUGAGGACUUUGCAAAAUAGGUUUCUUACCAUGAGAGGCAGAAGUCAUAGAAACUGUAUGCGUGUUACAGGUUUAGAAGACAGGAGCUUUAAGUCAGUUGCUCUGGAAACAUAAAGAGGACCCUAGGGAAUAAGGUCCGAGUGCACAGGACACUGUUCAUCCCUAUAGAGAUAAAUGGAUGGGAUGGGGAGAGAGAAAAGGUCAGUGACACCACCAUUCUUAGCAAGCAGGGCUUGUGAUAGACAGGCAGGCUUGGAGGUUGGAUCUGACUGCACCUGAGCUGUUCAGUGUGGGAUGUUGACGGGUAGGGUCGACAGGUACAUGCCAGGAACAGGAAGUGGAGUUGACCUCAUAGGAAGUCAGCAGCUGCUUGAAGCAGGGGCCAGUCUAGCGGCAGUCUGAAUAACACUGCUUCUAGCAUCCUGUGCUGGAGAGCCCUUGGCUUCCAACCGUGGUAUGCCUAGCCAGCAGUGCUGUCUGAGUGGCUAGCCCACAGCGAAGAUGACAGGCUGAGCCUCCCCUUGCCUGUCAAUGGGAGGAAAAGGAAGAGGAGUGGGCUUCUCAGUGCUCUUAGGAGCUAUGAGAAUAGCUCCAUCCGUCCUGCUUUUCCCUUACCCUCUCACACCUCUCCAUCUCAUU